GCGCUCGUAGCUCAGCCAGGAUAGAGCGGCGGUUUCCUAAACCGCAGGUCGCAGGUUCGAGUCCCGCCGGGCGCA
rnacentral:tRNA from 1 species